AUCCAGUUGACUAGUCCCAAAAAGGACGAAAGGUGUGUCCUGGAU
rnacentral:hammerhead_ribozyme from 1 species